GAUGAACGCUGGCGGCGUGCCUAAUACAUGCAAGUCGAGCGAACGGACGAGAAGCUUGCUUCUCUGAUGUUAGCGGCGGACGGGUGAGUAACACGUGGAUAACCUACCUAUAAGACUGGGAUAACUUCGGGAAACCGGAGCUAAUACCGGAUAAUAUUUUGAACCGCAUGGUUCAAAAGUGAAAGACGGUCUUGCUGUCACUUAUAGAUGGAUCCGCGCUGCAUUAGCUAGUUGGUAAGGUAACGGCUUACCAAGGCAACGAUGCAUAGCCGACCUGAGAGGGUGAUCGGCCACACUGGAACUGAGACACGGUCCAGACUCCUACGGGAGGCAGCAGUAGGGAAUCUUCCGCAAUGGGCGAAAGCCUGACGGAGCAACGCCGCGUGAGUGAUGAAGGUCUUCGGAUCGUAAAACUCUGUUAUUAGGGAAGAACAUAUGUGUAAGUAACUGUGCACAUCUUGACGGUACCUAAUCAGAAAGCCACGGCUAACUACGUGCCAGCAGCCGCGGUAAUACGUAGGUGGCAAGCGUUAUCCGGAAUUAUUGGGCGUAAAGCGCGCGUAGGCGGUUUUUUAAGUCUGAUGUGAAAGCCCACGGCUCAACCGUGGAGGGUCAUUGGAAACUGGAAAACUUGAGUGCAGAAGAGGAAAGUGGAAUUCCAUGUGUAGCGGUGAAAUGCGCAGAGAUAUGGAGGAACACCAGUGGCGAAGGCGACUUUCUGGUCUGUAACUGACGCUGAUGUGCGAAAGCGUGGGGAUCAAACAGGAUUAGAUACCCUGGUAGUCCACGCCGUAAACGAUGAGUGCUAAGUGUUAGGGGGUUUCCGCCCCUUAGUGCUGCAGCUAACGCAUUAAGCACUCCGCCUGGGGAGUACGACCGCAAGGUUGAAACUCAAAGGAAUUGACGGGGACCCGCACAAGCGGUGGAGCAUGUGGUUUAAUUCGAAGCAACGCGAAGAACCUUACCAAAUCUUGACAUCCUUUGACAACUCUAGAGAUAGAGCUUUCCCCUUCGGGGGACAAAGUGACAGGUGGUGCAUGGUUGUCGUCAGCUCGUGUCGUGAGAUGUUGGGUUAAGUCCCGCAACGAGCGCAACCCUUAAGCUUAGUUGCCAUCAUUAAGUUGGGCACUCUAAGUUGACUGCCGGUGACAAACCGGAGGAAGGUGGGGAUGACGUCAAAUCAUCAUGCCCCUUAUGAUUUGGGCUACACACGUGCUACAAUGGACAAUACAAAGGACAGCGAAACCGCGAGGUCAAGCAAAUCCCAUAAAGUUGUUCUCAGUUCGGAUUGUAGUCUGCAACUCGACUACAUGAAGCUGGAAUCGCUAGUAAUCGUAGAUCAGCAUGCUACGGUGAAUACGUUCCCGGGUCU
rnacentral:rRNA from 1 species